GUGCUCAUUUCAGCAGCACAUAUACUAAAAUUGGAACGACACAGAGAUUAGCAUGGCCCCUGCAUGAGGAUGACACGCAAAUUCGUGAAGCAUUUCAUAUUUUA
rnacentral:snRNA from 1 species